CCGACUGCUCUGAGGUCCAGCACCCCCGGCCACCCCAGGACUCCCGAAGAGGCUGCUAGGUCGGCCUGCCCAAAGAGCGGUGAGGAGCGUAUGUGAAGAGCCCCAGUCUUGAGGAGCAGCCUGUAUCUGGAGAGAGGGGAGCCCCGGACCAGAGGUGGGGGACAGGAAGCCAUCGCCCCACCCUGCCUCCUCCCCCACCACAGGUGGCCCUCGCCCCGGCCCACCCGCGCCUCCCAGGCCCAGCCUCACCUGCUGCCGAGAGAGGACAGUGACCCCCCAAAAGCCGGAGGUGAAGGAGGAGGAGGAAGAGGAGGAAGGAGCUGGAGGAGCCGGGGACUCGCCCGCUGAGGAUGCUCUUGUCAAGACAAUGAAUGAGAAGCAGCCGUGCGCCCGCCUCCGGGGUGGCCGCGCCCCUUGGGGCGGAGCUCUUCCAGGCCCGCCCUGCGCUCUCCGGCCCCCGCUGCGGCCGC
rnacentral:antisense_RNA from 1 species